rnacentral:rRNA from 1 species
GNAAACGACUGCUAAUACCGCAUACGCCCUACGGGGGAAAGNAGGGGACCUUCAGGCCUUUCGCGAUUGGAUGAACCCANGUGNNAUUAGCUANUUGNUGGGGUAAUGGCUCACCAAGGCGACGAUCCCUAGCUGGUCUGAGAGGAUGAUCAGCCACACUGGAACUGANACACGGUCCAGACUCCUACGGGAGGCAGCAGUGGGGAAUAUUGCACAAUGGGGGAAACCCUGAUGCAGCCAUGCCGCGUGUGUGAAGAAGGCCUUCGGGUUGUAAAGCACUUUCAGCGAGGAGGAAAGGUUGGCGCCUAAUACGUGUCAACUGUGACGUUACUCGCAGAANAAGCACCGGCUAACUCCGUGCCAGCAGCCGCGGUAAUACGGAGGGUGCAAGCGUUAAUCGGAAUUACUGGGCGUAAAGCGCACGCAGGCGGUUGGAUAAGUUAGAUGUNAAAGCCCCGGGCUCAACCUGGGAAUUGCAUUUAAAACUGUCCAGCUAGAGUCUUGUAGAGGGGGGUAGAAUUCCAGGUGUAGCGGUGAAAUGCGUANAGAUCUGGAGGAAUACCGGGUGGCGAAGGCGGCCCCCUGGACAAAGACUGACGCUCAGGUGCGAAAGCGUGGGGAGCAAACAGGAUUAAAUACCCUGGUAGUCCACGCCGUAANCGAUGUCGAUUUGGAGCUGUG